rnacentral:lncRNA from 1 species
UUUAUGUUUUUUUGAGGGGUCCUAAUUUAUGUAAUGACAAGAGAGAGAAUUUGGGAAAAAGGCCAACUGGCCAGGCCGGCCCACUAGGGCAAACCUAAAACCCUAUUUCCGAUCCCCGAUCCCUCGAUCCUAUAUCCUCCCAAUCCCCAGCGCCGCCACACACGCUCACAAAGAGAGAGUCCCGCGCGCUGCGCCUCCGCUUCCUCCCCCCGGCGACGCAUCUCGGCUGGCCACCGCUGGCGUUUGUCGUCCGUGCCGGGCUGUCUCACGCCAGCGGCCAUCUCCGCCACCUGCGUCGCUCAGGAACUCCCGCGCGGCUACGCCUCUGCUUCCUUACCCCGGCGACGCCAUCUCGGCCGGCCGCCGCCGCCCUUUGCGGCCAUCUCCGCCCCCUGCCUCGCUCCGGGAGCCCCGCGCGCUGCGCCUCCACUUUCUCCCCCCGGCGAACAACAGCUUCGCGCCUGACUGCCGGUCAUGUCUGCCGCCUCCCUUUUCUUUUUUUCUUGAUUCGAUUCUUCGAAUCCUCCUUCCUUGUACAGGUUCUGUGUUUGUUGUACAAUUUCCCUUCGUUCUCGUUUCGUGUUUGUUGGUCCAAGAGGCUAGUUGUUGAUAUUAUAGGCAAUUUCCCUAAGUAUAUAAACUGGUAGGCUUUCAUGUAAGCAAUCAAGGUGGGAUUACUGUGAGUAUAUGUGUGAAAAUCAGGUAAGGUACAGAAGUGUGCAUGCAGGCCGAAACGUGCGUGCAGGCCCAAUAAGAGAAUGUGGAUGCGGACCAGUUGGAUGGACAAAAUUUUUAGUACCGCCUCGCAAUUGGACGGACAGCCGAUCAAAACUAACGAAAAAAACUAAUCACGGGACGAAACCAAGAAUAUCACCUUACUUUAAUAGUAGGUAUAGAUAUAUAUAUAGAUAUACCGAAAACCGAACGGAUCAAAACUUUCCAUGUGGACACAAAUUAUUUAGUAAUGUAUUUAUGGGAAAGAAUCAAUCACGGUUAAUCUCUAAUCAAUAUUUAAAAAUCAAAUGUAAAUUAAUUAACUUACCAUAAGUCGGUCAAUCAUUCAUUAAUCUGUCCAUACGUAGUCAUAUUACAUCAAAGGAAAUGUUUCGAUUAUAGCAGUACCCCUGCUACAAACCGAGCGAGUCGGCCUUUCACCCCGCACCGCACGACUCUUCUCUCCCCCCUCGCCGCCUCCCCCCGUUCGUCUUCNNNNNNNNNNNNNNNNNNNNNNNNNNNNNNNNNNNNNNNNNNNNNNNNNNNNNNNNNNNNNNNNNNNNNNNNNNNNNNNNNNNNNNNNNNNNNNNNNNNNNNNNNNNNNNNNNNNNNNNNNNNNNNNNNNNNNNNNNNNNNNNNNNNNNNNNNNNNNNNNNNNNNNNNNNNNNNNNNNNNNNNNNNNNNNNNNNNNNNNNNNNNNNNNNNNNNNNNNNNNNNNNNNNNNNNNNNNNNNNUAGGAUGCCGCCGCACCUCUCCUCUGCAUCUCCCUCUUGGCGGGAUCCAGGUCACGGGGCUGACAACCUCAUCAUCUCUGACGGCGGAUCUGGUCGUCGGUGAGGAGGCCGAGCCUCCUGCUCCAGCCACAGCCACCCCGACCUUGUUGUAUGUUCGCCUCCUCAUCCACCCCCUCCCCUGUCCAAUUUUGCUUUAUUUUGGUUCGUCUUUCAUCCUGUCGAAGCCGUACUUUUUACCUUACGAUGCCCCGCCUCCAAUGUUUCUGCAUUAACUAACACGGCGUUGCGUGAUCUUGGAGCAGCGGGAUUGAGAGGAUGGAUCUCGGUGACGGGAGGAUGGCGUUCGUCGUGUGAGCGAAGAUAGUAUGUAACUCAUGGAGUGCAAGCUGUUGUGCGACUGCGUGGCGACGCUCGACUGUAGCGUUGAGAUGUAGGGCACGUGCGCCAUGAUGUCGUGCUUCACCAUCGCCUCCCCUAGCUUUCUCGCAAGGCAUCGUGGUCUCGAUGGGUUGGGGCUCGCCUCCCGCACUCCUCUUUGUCGUGUACAACAACCAUGGUGACCCCUAGGUACUCUCAACGCUUGGUCUAGAAAUCCCUCGAAUUCGUUGCCCAAGCCGAGUGCUGUGAUCUCACGGUCGGUCAUCGUGCAGGUGUCGAAUUAUUGAGGGAGGCUUUAGAUCGUCCUGGGCAUGGAGAUGAGGCUGGCCAUUAAGGAUCUGGGUGGAGGUCACGUCGUCUCUUCUCCUGGCUCCAAUAUCCACUACUUCCACUGCUGAUAUUUUGAGUUCUUUGAUCUGAGAAAGAACCAUGGGAACGUAAGGUUUUUAACCCAACAUGAUUUAAUUACCCCUUUUCACUUUGGUAUUUUAUAAGUACAUAAGCAUUCAGUUGUUCUAUCCUUUGUAUGAGGAUGCAAUUCACUCCUUACAUGUGAACAGUGUCACAUCUUACAGAAGCUUCUAAUUAUUUACAAUGAGUAUGGGACAUAAACCAAUGUGCUUGGUCUGUGCUUUGUGUUUCUGUCAUGCCUUGUCUUUAGAAGGCACCGUCAUGAAUGCUAAUUUAAUAGAGGAGAAUCAAGCAAGCGACGUGCAAUGAUUUUCAUGACCAUAUUCUAAACUUAAUGAUGAUUGAUAGCCGAUUUAUGGUUUCUUCCACUUCAGUAAGAAAGAUGCGGUGUACAAAAUCUUGCAAAAAUGGAGGAUAUGGAUUUGGUGGGCGAACUGUCCCGACAACGGCGGUGCUGCCUACCAACACCAUGUGCAAGACCGCCUGACUUGACCUCUAUCUUAAUGGUAAGUUUCUCUCUUUUUCUAUCUCGUGGUCUCCUUGAUUUGGCUUUUGAGAAAGGAUUGAAAGUAGUUUGGGUGGUUCAGUUAAUUCAAUGCCCAACAAUAUCAACAGUUGUCAGCAACAAGUUACUCCAAAUUCCAUCGCCCAACAAUAUCAUCAGUUGUAAGCAAGAAGUUAGGUGUUUGGUAUGUACCCCAGUGCAAGAGACCAUGGAUGCAAAAGGUACUUCUGCUAGAGUAAGAUUAGAUAGUCAAAUUGUAGACAAGCAGCAGUGUGUAUUGGCAUUGCAACUUCUGACAUGGGAUUUUUGUGUAGUCAGAUAAUUAGGAACUUGAACUACAAGGGCAAAUGGGAGGCACCUUUGAUCGACAUUCAGCCCAGGGAACCUCAACUUUCCCACUGUUGUACAUUCAUACUACUGUCCAUGUAUCACUUCUGCUCAACUAUAAUACACGGAAACAUGAAAGCUCAUAUUUUCCCCUUGUUUGUGCAGAGUACAAGGAUGAUUCCUACAUCUAUGCAUUGAUAUGCUGAAGCACAUUGGAAUUGAGCCAAGGCAGGUUAGUGCUUCAAAAAUGCGAAAUGUUGUUGACACUUUAACUAUGUAUGUUUGAUUGUUAUCCUAUGAAGCACAAUUAAAGUGUUGACUCUGUUUGACAUUACGAUGUAUUACAUCUAAUUAGUAGCAUUUGACUUUUGUUUCAUUUCAGAUGUCAGAUGUAGACAACUAAGGCAAUGGCUAUUGCAUUGUAGGAUGAGAACGUCCAACGUGGUGGCGGCGGGUACAUGCCCAACGCGGCGACCCGUGGGCACACCGGUUCUAGGGGCUUGAGAGCUGGGGCCGGCAUCGAAGCGGUGAAGAUGGAUGGUGGCGUGUGGAAGUGGGCAGUGGUGGGCAGGGAACAUCGUGGCCGUGCCAUCGUCCUCUCCGUUCAGCUUGACAUGAUCGUCGUUCAGCUGAAAACAAGAUUACCUGAGGGAGAUUAAGACUAGAACAUGAGUGCACAAUACUUCUCCGAUGCGAUUUUUUGUAAAUGUAAUUAACUUUGUAGAGUUGGCAUGACAUGCGCCUUCACUAGAGUUAAUAAUAGACCCUCCCUCCUUCCCAAAUUCCUGACCAAUCAUUGUUUUGUAAGGAUCCUUCUCAACCUUUGUUAGUUGUUCAUCUAUGAUUGAAUUUAACCAUGUGGUCUAACUGAUUGGUCAUAUGAACUUAUGAAGUAGUUGUUGUGUGUACUAAUUGCGACAAAUGGAUUCCUUUGCUUUUUGCAUUGUUCACUAAUAUCAUUAAUAGAUGUGCAUGUGUUACCGAUAUUUCUUACUUUGGCUGACUGAGCAUUCUGAUUAGUUGUGUCAGCUAAUGCACCAUAGUACCAGAAGGAAGGCUCUAUUGAUAUUCUGAUUAUGCUUGAGCAGUAAUAUCACGCAAUGGUUUUAUUCGCUCCUUACAUUUUUUCUAUGCUUUCCUUCUGUCCUUAAAUGAUUGCUCGAUUAGUAUGUAUGUGUGGAUCAAAUUUCUUUUGCCUUUGCGAAUGUGUGUCAAAAAUUUCUCACUAUAAGUUAGUAUGUAUUACUACAUCAUAUAUACUGAGCACAAAAUGAGUCCUUCACUUGUACCUUCUGUUUGAAUGUCUCGUUCACACUCUUUUGUUGUCGAUUACUAGGCUAUAAUUCUUUGUGACUUUCGAUUCUGUUUGUUGUUCUGAUCCUAUGUCGAAGCAAUCUCGAUCCAUGGGGAAGAAGAUACGGGGACCAACCACUGAGUCGAUGCUGUCGACGAUCGAGGACGGCAGACAUAACCAUGUUGAUGUCAUUGGUUCAUUGGAGCUGAUGUCGCCACCUCCUCGCCUCUUGGUCUCGGAGGUUGCGAUGGCCAGGUCAGCGACAUGGCCACGUAGUAUGCCUCAUUUUCUCCUAUUGCAUUGUUUCUUUUUUAUCAUGUGGUUUCUCUUUCGUUUCUGUUAGCAAUAAUUACAUCUCCAUGAAGCAAAAGAAAGCUUGAGAAAAAAGUUGUGUUUAUACUCAAAGGCUUAGCUACCAAUGGCAGUUAUUGACUCCCUACCAAAAGUUGUGUUUAUACUCAAAGGCUUAUGCAUGCUUUUUUAAAAAUAUGUGGCACAAUCAUUGUAAUUAUGGUGUUAUAUGAGCUAGAAGAUUUCAAAAGUGCAUCAAUUGAGAAUUACACAUAUUUAUACAUCGGAUAGGGAAGCAUGUAUUUGAUAUUUCCUGCUGAAAAUCAGCGUUUUCUAUCGGAGGUCUAAAUUUUCAUAUGCCGGACUUUAAGUUAGAUGGUGUGUAUUAUAAUGAUUUUUUAUUGGAUGUUGUGCUGUAUAUUAGGGUCUAUGUAAUAUUUGUUAGGCAAUUGCAUAAUGCAAUUAAGGUUCUGGUUGCAGCAUCUUGGAAUAUUUGUUUAAAGGUAACAAAAUGCUCCAUCUGUUGUCUUUAAUUAAUGGUUAAUAACAAUGGAAAUGCCUUCUUGAGAUGAUUGGUCUUAAGCAUAAAAAGUCAUGUAGGGUGCUAUCUAGCUUUUGUAAUAUAAUGCACAAUAAAGAGUACUAUGUUUCUGUACCACUUUCUUUGUCUUGUGCAUCGCAUGUCUUUCUAUGCAUAUAUUAUCGAAUUACAUUUUGUAUCGAAGAAUAUUUUGUGUGAUGUGGAUUUCAAUUACGUUUACACGUAAAACUUGAUAUGCAUUAUGUUUAUAUAUGCACACGGUACAAAUAUUUAAAAGCCCGUGGUAACGCACGGUCUUGCAUAGCAACUGAGCUGGCCCUUUUAUCUUUUUUUCUUCAACGCUGGCACCUGACGCUCACUCUCGAGCGAUAGACUGCUUCGCUGGUUCGAAUUUGUUUUUCCCUAUUUUUUAUUUUUUUCUCCGGUUUUUUUGGUUUUUAUUUUUCUUUUCUUUUUUCAUCGUUUUCCUUUGUUUUAUUUAUGGUUUUCUCUGCCUUUUUCUGUUUUCUUUGCUUUUUAUUGGUCUUCUUCAUUGUUUUUCUUGGUUUCACCCUUUUUCUGCUUUUUCUUUAUUUCACUUGUUUCUUUCUCGGUUUUCAUUGGUUUUUCUUUCUUUCUCGGUUAUUUUUAUUUUUUCUUUCUUUCUUGGUUUCAUUAUCUUGCAUUGGUUUCUUUGGUUUUUCAUCUAUUUUGUUUCCUUUUCUUUGUUUUCCAUUUUGGUAUUUGUUCGUUUUUUAUUUUUCUUUGUUAUUUUUUCUCGAUUUUCUUCAAUUCCUCUUUUGUUCAACACGUGCUAACAUUUUUUCAGUACACAUUCAACAUUUUUUCUUGUACAUAAAAAACAUUUUCAUAUACAUGUUUAACAUUUUGAAAUACAUGAUUAAUAUUUUUUUGAGAAACUUUAUUUUUUUAUGUCUACUUUGUUUUCAUAAAUAUUUUACAUUGCAAGUAUAUUUCUAAUACACGUUUAACAUCUAUCAAAUACAAGUUCAACAUUUUUUGUAUACAUGAUCAGUAUUUUCAUAUACAAAAUAACUUUUCAAAUUCUUGAUUAGCAUUUUUCAAGUACCAGAUUAGCAUUUUUUUAAUACAUGGUGUACAUUUUUUCUAUACACAUUUCACAUUUUUCAAGUGCUUGAUUAACAUUUCUCAUAUACUCCCUCCGUUCCUAAAUAUUUGUCUUUUUAGAGAUUUUAAACGGACUACCACAUACGGAUGUAUAUAGACAUAUUUUAGAGUGUAGAUUCACUCAUUUUGCUCCGUAUGUAGUCACUUGUUGAAAUUUUUAGAAAGACAAAUAUUUAGAAACGGAGGGAGUACAAGAUUAACAUUUUUUAUACGUGGUCAACCUUUUUUCUAUACACAUUAACAUUUUUCAAACACUUGUUUAACAUUUUUCAAAUUCUUGAUUAAUUUUUUAAAAACAUAUGAUCAACUUUUUCACAUAGAUCUUAUUUUUUGUAUACAUGUUUCGUAUACAUGAGAAACUAUUUCUAAAUUCACAUUUAACUUUUUCAAAUGCUUGGACAACAUUUUUUUUGAAGUUAAAGUGUUUUCUGUAAUAUAUUUAUUUAGAGUAUCUGACAGUAUAAGCAAAAGUAAAAAAAAA